ACCCGCAGCGUUGUCAAGAGAGGCAUCGGGCAGCUGAAGCGACGUUUUCACGUGCUGCACAGCGAGAUCCGAGUUGGUCCUCCAUCCAAGGUCUGCCAAAUAGUAGAAGUUUGUGCACUGCUGCACAACAUCUGCAAAGUCAGAAAUAUCAUUCUUCCAGAAGAAGAAGAUGAAAAUCUGGCUGCAGCCGAGGAUGGAGGCAACGAGGAGCAACCCCCAGUACAGGAAGUUCAACGUCGCCGUGAAGGAAUCCUGUACAGGGAUGAAUUUGUGGUGCUUCACUUCAACAUUGAUGAGUGAUGAUACACCAGUGUCAUCACUGCUGAGAUUGGUGUCAUUUUCAUGUGUAUGACCUCCCAGCAAACAAAUCUACGUCGUCACCACGUGACGGUCACGUGGCGCUGUUGUUGUAGGGACGUUAUAUUUCUACGUGAAUUUCACGUAGAUGUGUCGACACGAAUCGACGUGGAAAGAACGUCGAAAUGCACGUGAAAAAGUCCCUUGAAUUCCACUUGUGGAGCACUUUACUUUAUUC